rnacentral:rRNA from 1 species
UGUAUAAUGGGUCAGCGACUUAUAUUCUGUAGCAAGGUUAACCGAAUAGGGGAGCCGAAGGGAAACCGAGUCUUAACUGGGCGUUAAGUUGCAGGGUAUAGACCCGAAACCCGGUGAUCUAGCCAUGGGCAGGUUGAAGGUUGGGUAACACUAACUGGAGGACCGAACCGACUAAUGUUGAAAAAUUAGCGGAUGACUUGUGGCUGGGGGUGAAAGGCCAAUCAAACCGGGAGAUAGCUGGUUCUCCCCGAAAGCUAUUUAGGUAGCGCCUCGUGAAUUCAUCUCCGGGGGUAGAGCACUGUUUCGGCAAGGGGGUCAUCCCGACUUACCAACCCGAUGCAAACUGCGAAUACCGGAGAAUGUUAUCACGGGAGACACACGGCGGGUGCUAACGUCCGUCGUGAAGAGGGAAACAACCCAGACCGCCAGCUAAGGUCCCAAAGUCAUGGUUAAGUGGGAAACGAUGUGGGAAGGCCCAGACAGCCAGGAUGUUGGCUUAGAAGCAGCCAUCAUUUAAAGAAAGCGUAAUAGCUCACUGGUCGAGUCGGCCUGCGCGGAAGAUGUAACGGGGCUAAACCAUGCACCGAAGCUGCGGCAGCGACGCUUAUGCGUUGUUGGGUAGGGGAGCGUUCUGUAAGCCUGUGAAGGUGUACUGUGAGGUAUGCUGGAGGUAUCAGAAGUGCGAAUGCUGACAUAAGUAACGAUAAAGCGGGUGAAAAGCCCGCUCGCCGGAAGACCAAGGGUUCCUGUCCAACGUUAAUCGGGGCAGGGUGAGUCGACCCCUAAGGCGAGGCCGAAAGGCGUAGUCGAUGGGAAACAGGUUAAUAUUCCUGUACUUGGUGUUACUGCGAAGGGGGGACGGAGAAGGCUAUGUUGGCCGGGCGACGGUUGUCCCGGUUUAAGCGUGUAGGCUGGU